GGCUUCGUAUCUUAGCUGGUAGAGCGCUUGCCGUAUUGGGGCAUGGGGCUUCUAUCGCUGGUUCUAAUCCAGCCGAAGCCC